AACUUUUGGCAACGGAUCACUUGGCUCUCGCAUCGAUGAAGAACGCAGCGAAAUGCGCUAAGUAAUGUGAAUUGCAGAAUUCAGUGAAUCAUCGAAUCUUUGAACGCAUCUUGCGCUCCUUGGUAUUCCGAGGAGCGUGCCUGUUUGAGUGUCAUUCAACUUCUCAACCACAUUCGUUCAUUGAUUGUGGCUUGGAUGGUGGGGGUUUAUUUGCAGGCUUCUGCUGUGAAAACAGAAAGGUCGGCUCCCCUGAAAUGUAUCAGUGGUAUCUGAGGCUAUUGCUAUAGGUGUGAUAAUUAUCUAUGCCCUUGGUAUGCCGCAUGGAACUGCUUCCAACAGAGAUGAUCUUUUUGAUGAAUUUGACCUCAAAUCAGGUAGGACUACCCGCUGAACUUAAGCAUAUCAAUAAGCGGAGGCU
rnacentral:misc_RNA from 1 species